UCCUCCCUCAAACCUCGGGUUUGGUGUUGGACCCAAGUUGUGUGCACAACUGGUCUCAAAGACAAUGACGGCGUCCGUGGGACCCUCGGUGCAACGAGCUUUUAACGAGCACGCGUCGAGUUUCAAGGACCUUCCGGGCCGGUCUCCUUUUAUUUACACA
rnacentral:misc_RNA from 1 species